rnacentral:lncRNA from 1 species
UGGGCCUUUGUCUCGGGCUGGGGCCGGAGCCUGGGAUCCAUCCCUCCUCUUCCGCGUGUUGCCCCUCGGGAGCCCUCGGUGACUUUGUCACAGCCUCUGUUGCCGUGAGAUCUGCAGGUACUGGAAGAUGCAUAGCUAAGAUGCCAGGACAUCCUGGAAACUGGGAAAUGAUGAAGUCUCACUCUGUCACCCAGGCUGGAGUGGUGUGGCGCGAUCUUGGCUCACUGCAACCUCCACCUCCCAGGUUCAAGCAGGAGGACAUUGUCCAGUGCCUCCUGGGAAGAAGGACAUUGAGUAAUUUAAUGGGCAGCAUGGGGAUGGGAGAAUGUUUUGAGGGUUACCAUGGUCUGACUUGACAGUUAAGUCAGACAUGUUUGUGUUUCCAUCAGCACUGCCACUCCCUGAGUUUGUCACCUUGGAAAGACUUUUUCACUUAUUUCCACUUCAAUUUUUCAAUAACUGUGAAUUAUGUUUCAUCAGUAGAGCUGAAAUUUUUUUUAUAAAGUCAAAGACCAUGAAGGGUGAAUUUCAGAAAAAUCUAGUCAUAUGUUUUAUUUGUUAAAAAUGUUUCUUUAUCUUCAUCAGAGUGAUUUUAGUAAGUAAAUUUCUUUCUGUUCUUUUUGGGUGGUGAUUUCAAAUAGAAUUCCAAGGCAUUGCUUUGGGAAUGCUGCAAGGGAAAAGAAAUAGGAAAAAUUUCUUUUUCAUUAUGGCUAUAGAAAGUGAAUACAUUUCCACAAGAAAAUAUGAAAGAUUAAUUGAUGAAGUGCAUAUAUUUGUCAAAACAUCAGCUCCCCUUUUUUGCAGGGUCUAAAAUUUGUAACAGUGGAUAUCUCUGUUCUGUAUUCUGUUGUCUAAAUGCCCAAGUUUAAUGUUAAAUUUUAUGAGAUAGAACUUGGCACCUUCUGGAAAUGUUCACAUAUGGUUUAUUAAACUAUUUAUCAUGAAAGUAUGUAAGUGACAUGUUUAAUGUCUGAAAGAGAUAGAGACUUCAGCUUUUCCUGUUGAAGUAUAAAAUUUAAGUGCCUUACUAUUUCCUUACAAUAUUCUAUAAACACGGUGUUUGAGUGAUUUUGCUGUUUUCUUUAAACACUGGGCAUUAGUUUUAAACUAACGUUAGGCAGAAAAGGGCUUUCUUUCAUAAGGAGGAGCAAACUACUAGAAGGUCAGAAAAAAAAAUGUGGGACGAGGAGGACGGGAUAAAACAUGGUGAAAUCAGAUCCUAGAUCAGAGAAUGUUUUACCUAGACGUCAGCCUGUUCUUAAGAGGGACAUAAGGAGGGGUUUUAAGGUUGGGUCGAAGUUUGGGGUCUGGGGAAGGAAAGAAAAUUAAGAAAAGUUUGGUUCACAAGUAUUUUGUUCUGUCCACCAGAGACAAACUUAUUUGUUUAUGAGACAAAAAAAAAAAAUAAAUAAAAUAAAUGGGAAUUUAGAGAGUCUCUGGCUUUGGGAUAUCAAAAACAGGAAGGGUGUUUCUUAGCCAUAAGAUGCUCUUGAAAAACACAAAUGAUGGGGGAUUUCUUUAAUCACAGCUGUUAUCUACCCACCCCAUCUUCUCCUACCACUUUUCCUUGCCUUGUACUUUUUUUUCAUUUGGCUCUUCUUGAUUUGUACCUUUUAUAAUAAACUGGUAAAUGCAA